CCUUAGCGCUAAUGGAUCCCUGCCUCUUACUUGAGGGCGAGGGGUGGCUCGAAGGCCUAGGGUAGUUCGGGUUGAGGGGAGCCGGGUGGUCAGCAUUCCCGAGAUGAGAGCGGCAAAAAGAGAGGCAUUUAAUGGGGAAAAAAAAGAGGGUCGAGAUGGAGUAGAUGGCAGAAACCGGGAACGAAGGACUUUCCUGAGUGACAUCUGCCACGUACUGCUUCGGAGGCGACACGGGACCAGGACUGCUCACGACAAGAUUUGAGCUGGUUUGCUUGCAGCCCAUAAUAAAACAUUGGAGCUUCCUAAACUUGUGGUUCCUCAGCUGUGAAACAAACCCACUGCACGUCCAGCAUCCACAGGAUUGCCUCAUAUCGCCCUCGAGGGGAGUCUCGUGUCUCCUGUCAGCAUCCGUGACACUGUAGCAGGCUAAGUUACUGGACUGCAAGUAAGAUAAAUAUGAGACCCUUCACAGUUCUUGAUAUGUGGACCCUUGCACCCAACCGUGGACAAUACACCAUCUUCCUCGAGCAAUACACAUGGAACGUGGACAAUUUACCUAGCACAGUGCCUGCCGCCUGAAAGACAGUCAAUGAAUGUUAGCUCUCACUUGCCUCUAGCACUACUGUUCCUCUCACUUCCUUGAGCAGUCAGCAGCCAAAGGGAAGAAAUGAAUCAUGUGAACAGAAAUCAUAGAGUGUUAAAACCGUCUGAGAGAUGGAGAUAAGUGGGCGGCACACAGGGAGCUAUGGUGUAGAACAACCCCUUCUGCGUUGGCCCUACAUUGUGACUUCAUUAUUUGAUUUGAGGCAAGAACAUUCCCAGGAACACAAAUAUUGGAUUUCUUUUUUUUCGGCCGCACCGCGCAGCUGAUGGGAUCUUUAGUUCCCCAACCAGGGAUUGAACCCAGGCCAUGGCAGUGAAAGCGCUGAGUCCUAACCACUGGACUGCCAGGGAAUUCCCAAAUAUUGGGUAUUUAUAUUCAAUUGUCAAGACACUUUCCCAAGGUCCUAUGGAAAUUAAAUCUAUAUUAACCAUUUUCUUAUCACUCAGAUCAGCA